UUCGGUCAAUUGAAACUUUGACUUAGUGGCGGACGGGUGAGUAACACGUGAGCAACCUGCCUUUCAGAGGGGGAUAACGGCUGGAAACGGUCGCUAAUACCGAAUAAGUUCCAAGAGCCGCAUGGCCCAUGGAAGAAAAGGUGGCCUCUACCUGUAAGCUAUCGCCUGAAGAGGGGUUUGCGUCUGAUUAGCUGGUUGGAGGGGUAACGGCCCACCAAGGCGACGAUCAGUAGCCGGUCUGAGAGGAUGAACGGCCACACUGGAACUGAGACACGGUCCAGACUCC
rnacentral:rRNA from 1 species